rnacentral:lncRNA from 1 species
GCUUGAGCACCUCCAGCUCCUGCACCAAAGCCUCAAGAGCCAACCGACCUACAUAGGUGAAAUAGUCCAAGCACAACUCUUGGACCUAUGCUAAAGACUUGGUGACUCAACCAACCUCUUCAAGACUGAACAUUUCCAAGUUGAAGCUUCUAGCAAAUCUAGCCAUCCAAAUUAGAGCUCCUAACAAAUAAGCAGCAACCUAGCAAUUAAAGCAUGGUC